UUACUUCCACCUCCCAUGAGGACUGCACCUGCGGCAGCGAUUUUAUGUGAACUUGGAUUACUGUAUGGAAAUGGAGGCUGAAGGAUCUGUUAGACAAUGUCCAACACUCCAGUGAAAGAAAAUACAGAGUGAGAAAGUGUGGGAAUCAUAAAAGAAGGCAGAACCAAAAGACAGAGGGAUCUUGGGCCAUGAGUCACAGCAAGGAAAGCCUCCCACCAAACAUCUGCACUGGACUCCUACAGGAACAAGAAAUGAACUAUCGUGUUCAGCCCCUGAGACUUGGGCUUAACAUGAUUUUCACAUUGUCUACCCUACCUAAUAGAGCAGAGAUGUAAAUAUUAUUCUUAUUUUAGAGG
rnacentral:lncRNA from 10 species